CAGCAGGCCACGGUAAUACGGAGGAUCCAAGCGUUAUCCGGAAUCAUUGGGUUUAAAGGGUCCGUAGGCGGUCUUGUAAGUCAGUGGUGAAAGCCCAUCGCUCAACGGUGGAACGGCCAUUGAUACUGCAGGACUUGAAUUAUUGGGAAGUAACUAGAAUAUGUAGUGUAGCGGUGAAAUGCUUAGAGAUUACAUGGAAUACCAAUUGCGAAGGCAGGUUACUACCAAUUGAUUGACGCUGAUGGACGAAAGCGUGGGUAGCGAACAGGAUUAGAUACCCGUGUAGUCCCUGUCUCUUAUA
rnacentral:rRNA from 1 species